CAGUGUGAGACACGAUCGGUCGACUCAGGUACCAACAGGGCCACUGUGACACGCAGCAGUCAUGAAGUCUCGGAUUUUGUUGUUUGCCUGCUAGCAGUAAAGGUCUGCAGGCUGUUUGGCUUCAGCUUUUUUUUUUUUUUUUUUUUUUUUUAAAUGGCUUCUGGAUUUUCUGAGGAUUCUCUUGGUCUCACUAUUAGCCUUUUGGGCAGCAUACAAAGGCACUUUAAUUACAGACGUGGAGGCUCCAGUGGCAUUAAACCUCACUCUGAACUGGCUGAGGAUUUCCCAAGCAGCUACAAACUUGCUUCAACCACUUAUGAGAGCUCAUGACUGUCUGGAGGCUCUCCAAAUGGACCCACUUAUACUGAGAGUGCUUCAUCCGAGUACCUGAAGCCUGCCUCACCCAAUGCAGGAGGUUAUAGUGGGUCUUACGGUAGGCAAGUAUAUGGUUACAGUCCAGAGGGAAGUGUUUCUAGUUCCAGGCCUAGCCCACUGAUUCCUCAGAAACCCAGACAAAACCCACAGGAGCCACGUAAUCAAACCAACCCUGAUACAAAUGGUGUCUUCCAGACCAAAGCUGGUGUGGGACUGAGUCGGUUAUCGCUUCAAGUUAUGGAAUUCAGAUGCAUUCUGAUGCCCAGCGGCCGAGCUGCCCGCCCCAGCUGCAGCAUGGCAUGACCCAAAGUAAAGCUGGCAUGUGGGACUUGGUUACUCCAAGAAGUUCUAGACCAAUUCCAAUGGCGUCUGAGUAGCAGCAACUGGUGCCUGUGUACAACAGACUUCGGACAUCGGAACUGUAAGGUUCCUGACCUCUUCUGGAAGCUGUCUGUCUUGGCAUCAACUGUGUUGUUGUGUCAAUAAAGUACUUGGAACUGUA